UAAUAUAGGGUUUAUAAUAACCAUUAUACGACCAUUUGAAACCAUUUUGAAUAAUCAAAUAUAAUAAUAAGGUCGUAAAUAUCGAUUUCGAAACAAUAUUUUUCGGGACAGUCGAGACAUGUAACUUGAACAUAAACCACACGCAGUUACACCAACAAAAUCGUCCCUUACAUCAGAGAAUUUUCGGUCGUGCCAAUUCCUUGACGUUUAUGCCCUACAAUACAAUGUUAAAACUUUAAAUAACGAUUGUUGUUUUGUGAAUAAGUGAUUAUAUCGACAUUUAAGUAUCGGUGAAUACUUAAAUAACAAUACACCGCCGUCGUUCAAAACAGCGUUAUAAUAUGUAAGCUAGUAGAUUUUCGAAAGAAAAAAAA